AGGCUCUUGAACCUUUGCUGCGCAGAACCAGUGAAUGCGCGGGAAAAUUUGUUGCGAGAAGAGCGAGGAAUCCAGCUUUACCUUUCUGCUGUUUUAAAGCCAGCAGACAAGGCCGGCAUCGUCCCUGCACCGUAGACCUCCAGCCUUUUCUGUUUUCAUCCAGAAGGAUGAAAGAAAGACCUGCAUUUCCGUUGAGUUUUCACCACUAGGUCUUCAGCUCCCUGAACACACACAUUGCAUCUUAUUCAUCAUUUGCCUCCCCAGCCUCACACCAAUGUUUGGACGCUAAAUUAAUGUGUGAAGGGGAUGGGGGCUGGUUAUUCCUGAGACCCUUGAGUGUAACUGCUGUCCUUUUUAUUUGACAAAAUCCAUGACAUCUGGAGAAGGAACUUGUGGAUGCAGCGAGGUGUUGGUUCAGUGCUUUGCCUUCUCUUUCCUUCUUUCCUGCCCUUCUUCCCUUCAUAGACAUUUCAUGGCCUGUGAACCAGAUAGCAGUGGGUUAGACAGACUGGGAGGAUAAAGAAACAGGACUCAAGGGGGGGCCAAUUUGCCAGGGAUGCUGUGUAGACGUAAACAGCUAACCAGGACUCUGGGUGAUAAGAGCUGUUGACAGGAAUUGAGGGUGGGGGGUCCUCAAAGCUACCUGUACAGGGGGAAGGCAUCUAAGUAGAGGAAGCAGGGGCAGAAGCUCACCAGGAGAAGGUCCCUGCUGAUGAGGGUGCCUCUGUUUGGAUUCCCCCCAAAUGGGUUUACCUCCUGUUCAUUCUUUUUUUUGGGGGGGGGGGCACCCCACGGCAUACGGAGUUCCCAGGCCAGGGAUCAGAUAGAUCCGAGCCACAGUUGCAACCUAUAUCACAAGUGUGGCGGUGACAGAUGCUUUAUCCCACUGUGUGGGCCAGUGCUGAGACCUGAGUCCCAGCUCCAGAGAUGCUGCAGAUCCUGUUGUGCCCCAGUGGGAACUCCUCUCCUAUUUAUUCUUUAGGCCUCACAUGAAGUAUCACUUCUACGGUGAUAAGAUAAGGUCUUCCUAUUUUAUUUAUUUAUUUAUUUUGUCUUUUGUCCUUUUUAGGGCCGCACCUGUGGCAUAUGGAGGUUCCCAGGGUAGGGGUAGAAUAGGAGCUGUAGGCACCAGUCUAUGCCACAGUCACACCAACGCCAGAUCCUUAACCCACUGAGUGAGGCAUGGAUCGAACCCACAACCUCGUGGUUCCUAGUCAGAUUCAUUUCCUCUGUGCCAUGACGGGAGCUCCCACAUAAGGUCUUUCUAUUCAGUGUUCCUGUAGCACCUGGCAGUUUUUUUUUUUUCUUCAAUACUCAUGACAGGUCCAAUUGGGCAACAUUCAUCGUCCCUAUUCCACUCUGAACUUCCAGAGGCAGAAACCACCUUUCUGUUCAUGGACAGUCUCCACACUCAGCCCAGUGCCUGUCCCGUGGGGUUCCCUAAAUAUCUGGUGGCCUGAUGAGUAAUCAGACUUUCCUUAAGUUAAUGCGAAACUGGUUCCUACAGUUUCUGUUUUGGAUGUGAGGUCAGGCUGCGACCACUCCACUCCAGGUAUCCCCCUUCCCCCCCACCGGGGGGAACCACCUGGAACAGAGUGGCCUUGAUUCAGAAUGUAUUGUUUUGUGGUUUUUCUGCAGCUCGGUGAUUUCAGAACUGUCUUCUGCAGAAACAUGAGGCGUUAGAUGCUCCUCAGAAAGGGACACCAUCACGAAAUAUGUCUGAGGAAAGGAGUUGAGCCAAACAGGUUUCUGAACUGCAAGGAUUUCACAGCCUUGGUUCACCUCGUGCAGGGUCCUCACCAGGAGCAUCUAAUAACACUUUGCAACCAGCGGGGGUGUGGAUGAAAUGAAAUGGUGAUUUUGCGGCACCAUUUUCCCCACAUCCUCCUGGGCCCCCGGAGGUGGAAGGACCAGCCACAGGGAGAGCUGAGCAGCAAUAAUUUGUGCCCAUCUGGGCUCCUCUUUGCUACAUCCUGUGACAGUUCCUUGUUUUUUGACGGUAAGGAGAGAAUUAUGAUGUCAAUGAAAGAGGCUGGCCUUGGUGGCUGGUGCUCUGUGACUUUGGAAGACUUCCUUAGCCUCUCUGUGCCUCAGGCACUUUAUUUGUGAUAAGAAAUAAGAGUAUUGAACUUACAUGCUGUUGUUAUAAUUUUAAAAACUCUUGUAUAUACAGUUGACCCUUGAAAACCAUGAGUUUAAACUACGAGGGCCCACUGAAUUGCAAAUUUUUUUUACAAUAAAUACAGUUAACUCGUGGUCAUCAGUUGGUUGAGCCAUGGAUAUGGAGGAACCACAGAUAAAGAAGGCCCAGUGUAAAGCACACCCGGAUUUUCCAGGAGGGUCAGGGCCCCAACCCCCUGGGUUGUUCACAGGUGACCUGUAUUGAGAAUUCUCAUGAUAGGCAUACACUUGAUUUAAAUGCUAAUAACUGAUUAGUUAGACAUUGAAUAUCCAUCCAGCCUCUAAUAGGCUAAUGUAACUAGAUAAGUUGCUAGUCAAUAGAGCAGGUCACAGAGGACUAGGGCCUGAGAGGUGAGCUUUUCUCCACCUGCUGUCUUUGGAGUUCAAGUGAUGCCUUCUGUCAUCGUUGCUCUUCCAGCCAGCAGCAUCAUUGCUCUUUUUUAAAAAGUUUUUUAAAUUUUUAACUUUUUUGAGAUUAAAAAAAAAAUCUGUAGGAGUUCUCAUCUCGGCUCAGUGGUAACGAACCUGACUCGUACCCAUGAGGACGCGGGUUCAACCCUGACCUCGCUCAGUCAGUUAAGGAUACAGCAUUGCUGUGAGCUGUGGUGUAGGUCAAAGACAUGGCUCAAAUCCUGCGUUGCUGUAUUUGACCCCUAGCCUGGGAACUUCCAUAUGCCAUGGGUGGGGCCCUAAAAAGACAAAAAAAAAAUUGUAAUUGAAGUAUAGUUGAUGUACAGUGUUAUAUUAGUUUCAGGUGUACAGCAAAGUGAUUCAUUUGUGUGUGUGUAUAUAUAUUCUUUUUCAGAUUCUUUUUAUUAUAGGUUAUUGCAAAAUAGUGAGUAUAGUUCCCUGUGCUAUACAGUAGGAUUCAAAUUUUUCAAUAGCAUUUGCUGAGCUCGCCCUCUAAAUUUCGUUGUGAUUCCAUUACGCUUUAUCCUCAAAGUGAAAAGCAGAGCAGGUGUAUAUCAAGAUUCAAACAGUACAUAAUUUUUAAUGGCCAUAUCCAUGGCAUCUGGAAAUUCCCAGGCCAAGGAUCAAAUCCGAGUCAUAGCUGUGUCCUACGCCACAGCUGCGGCAAUGCUGGAUCCUUAACCCACUGCGCCACAGCAGGAACUCCCAAGAUUUAAAACUUUUGCCCACAGUCCAUUUUUCAGGGACCGAUUGAAUAGCCAAGAGCCACGUUCCUGGGCAUUGGGGUUGUGAUCCAGAAGACCACACUAUUUUUAAACAAUAAAGACCUGUUUGCAAGGAAAAGUAAAUAGGAUCUCACCUUGUUUGUUGCAGCUUAAUUUGACCAGGAAAAUGUCAACCCUACAUUCUCAGAGAAGAAACAUUUUCAGGGGCUGCAGGUAAGAGUACAGCGGGGAAAUUCAUAUUGUUUUAAAACUGCCCUGAAACCAUCCAGCCUGAAAAGAAAGCUCCUCUGGAAAUUCAGAGGUACUCUGAAAUUGAGUGUAGAAAUGGUUUCUUAUCUGUGUAAUAUGAACAGUUUUACUUCUUCAACUGUUCAUUUUCUGUAGAGGAUAUGAACGUGGGUGGAGUUUGCUAGACUAGGUGCUUAGGGUAAAUUUGUUCCCAUAUAGAAUCUCUGAUACAGUCAUGGAAGCUACAAACUUUGAAACAGGAAACAAAGGACAUUCUUUUCAACCGUUGGGUCUAUAGAAUCUCAAUGCCCAGAACAGUGUGUGGCUCAGAUAUCCUGCCAUAACUUCAUGCUUAUAGGGGUUCACUACUUAGGGAUCAGCACUACUACAUAGGGAUUGCUAAAGAUCAAGAGAGUUUCUCUAAGAUGCUCUUAUAGCAACAUCCAGUGUUAGACCUGCAGUACCUCUUGGGUACCUCCUCAGUGCCUUUGGGCAUCUCUUAUCCUUUAUCCCAGCCACUGAUGCUGGCUGGGCCCCAGGUCCAGAGCUCCAUUCGGGUUGCCUGAUGACUGCAUCAGUCUCCACUUCUCCUCCAGUCCUGCUUCCCCUCUUCCUUCACAAGUAUUGAUCCCAAGAGCAGUCUUUGAUCAACCACUUCCUUGGGAACAUGACCGUGAAACUUGGGCUAUGACCAGAGGAGAUAGUUUGCAUUCCGAGGCUGGUGUGGUCCUUGAAUGAAAAACACUUGGGUUAUAACAAAUAGUCUUAUUAAUACCAAACUAUAAUUAUGAGCCUCUUGCUAGUUGGCAAUUGAUUUUUUUUUUUUAGUUGGCAAUUGAUUUUGAUUAAAUGUAUGUAGCAAAGUGAACAUAUUUUUCAGAAUAUUUUUGAGAAUCCCUAAAUGUAUCUCACUUCAGAUGCCAGAUUUCCAAUCCUGCUUUCAGUUCUCAGUUUGAAUUUUAGCCAUUUCGUAAAAGAGAAGGCAUUGUCCCAGAGCUAAGUAGACACAGACAUUCCUCUGAGUUUUGAUACAUGGUCGGGAAGAUACGGAUUCAUACAUUCAUGUCUAGAAUCCUAAGGUUUUGUUCCUCCUUUGUACAUAUGGCAUGUUUUUUGGCCCAGUUCUUGAAACUGAACCAUACCCAUAACCAUACCCAUAAUUAUUAUGUGUGGUAAUUCCGAUAUUUGCCAAAGUUUGCAUUCCGUGGUCAAUUACAAAAACUUUAAGAUUCAUUUUUAUCAAGUUCUGUGAAUAUUUUCUUGAGUUAUGACUCCAUAGUCAACCAAUAGCAGUUCUAUGAAGUUUGUGGAGGUUUUGGGGGCGUGGGGCUCAGGGCUGAGCAGGAACAUGGCAUCAAUAUCUCCACCUACCAUCUCUUUGCCCACGCAUCCACUCACAUCUGAGUGCCUGGACCAAUCACCAAAGCACCUUUUUCUUACUUGCCCUUUCAAGGUCAGCUCUUGUCUCAUCAGCAAGAAAUGUCUUGUCUUAUCUUGGGAUCCUUUGGGGAAAGGGCACGGUGGUUCCUAUGAGUUCUCUCAUGACUGAAAGUGAUCGGAGGAAGUAGUUCAAAAAAUGUCUUUUUCUUUGACAAGUUCAUGCAAGCUUGUCAAGCACUGCGUAUACUGUUUUACUAGAUAGGGUAAGUCUCCACGCCUCUGCUGCAAAUUCUGUGCCGCCUACCGCCUGAGCAUCACGGAGGGGACAGGUAUAAAGAAAAUGCACAGGAGUUCCCGUUGCGGCUCAGCGGGUUAAGAACACAACAUCUCUGCGAGGACGCAGGUUGGAUCUCUGGCCUUGCUCAGUGGGUUAAGGAUCUGGCAUUGCUGCAAGCUGUGGUGGAGGUCGAAGGUGCAGCUCGGAUCUGGUGUUCUGUGGUUGUGGUGUAGGCCGGCAGCUGCAGCUCCAGUUUGAGCCCUAGCCCAAGAACUUCCAUAUGCCUCAGGUGUGGCCAUAAAAAAAGAAAAGGAAGCAAACACAUGAUCACCGGUGACACUCGUGAUGAGCCUGAAUGGCCAUGUUGACAGACCAGUUCUGAAAAGGAUGGCACGGGAAGUUGGGCAUGUGUUUCUUUUAGCUUGUGUUAAGAAAGGAAUAUCUUCCCCCUUUUCAUAUGAUCUUUCAAGGCAAGCAAAUCAAUCUCUCUCCCUGGAUGUCAAGCUGCUCAGAUCUCUCACGGAAAGGGACAUAAGGGCUAAUUCAGGGAGGGAUGUUGUCCUUGGAUCUGGUCCCCAUGGGUCCCACCUCCCCCUUCCUACCUUCUCCCUCCUCACCUUCCCACCCUCCCCAGCUCUGCCUUUUAUGCUUUGGAUGGUCCUGUCUGCUCUAAAUGUCUCUGGUUAAAAGGACUGUAAGAAUGACCCCCCUCACACACCCCAGCACUGAAGGUGGUCACACGUGUGCCGUGCCCUCCUGCGGCCAUGGGGGCUAUGGGUGCUGGGAGCACCGGGUGGACCUGGGCAACAGGGCAGUUGAGGGCAGUGAGGCAGCCCAGGUCCUGUUAGAGCCUGAGUCAGAGCCUGCUGUUUCUGGGACCUGGGCUUUCUCAAUUCACCGAGCCUGCUGCUGGGGAGGGAGUCGGUCUUUGGGAAUGUGGAACUCAGCCCAGGUGGCAGCCUCAUCAGUGUGCAUCUGGAUGUCACAAUACUUGCAGUCAGACUGUUCCUCUUUCUUUCAAACACACGUGCACUUGCCCUUGGACUUUUCCAUUGCAAAGGCUGAUGCUGCAAAUGAGAGUCAACUUUUCCAGUCUUGGCAAUGUGGUCAUUUUCAGCUCUGAUUGGCCAUUUGAUGGACCAUCUACGCUCCUCCAAGUAUAGGGGCUCACACAGUCACAGGUGGAAUAAGGCGACUGCACCCAGCUGACAUCUCUGACUUGAGUGUAGCUUCCUUCCCGUGCUUAGAUCCUAAAGAAUCGUCCUGUUUCUCCAGGUGCACUGUGCCUAAGCAUCUAGAACCGCUGGCUCCCUGAUGCCUACCCUGCCUGCAGGUUCUAUCCGAUCAGGGACCUGGUCUGUCCUUGGCCGCUAGAACAGGGCUGGUGCAGGCGACCCUCAGUUACCCUGGGCUGAGUAUGUGAAGGAAAGCUGCCUCAGUUUCAGCCAGCAUUCACCGUGCUGGGCUCCGAGUACACUGUAGGAUAGUGUAAUGGCAUGAAUGGCAAGAGGUCAGAGCUGGGGAUGAAGGGAAAAUGGAGAGACGGAUGU
rnacentral:lncRNA from 1 species